GUGAGGGGAGCGGUCCGUAAAGUACAGUGACAUAAGUCUGGCUCCAAGGGUGGUUGGCAAGAGACCUCUGUGAAUGUCUCCUACAUGUGAAGUACCAGAUCGAGCCAAUUCUUUGAGAUGAGGUGUGGGCAGGGCUGCUGUAGGCUGCUGAUACACAGGAACUACAAGACCUAGAUGCGGGGAAGGUAGCCCUCCUCCCAGUGGUGAGUCAAGAGGAGAUCUGGAUGAAUGCGUGGUUUCAAGGUGCUUCCGCUUCAUCUUUCUGCAGAUAAUUCUGCAUUUUCCAGCAGGGGAAGAAGACGAUAGGAGAGGAAGAAGAAGAAGAAAGUCGUCGUACCUGGACUUUGAAACUCAAGACUAGCCAUGUAGCCAACUUCUUUGGGGGAAUGGACAUCAAUGAUAUAGUUUCCAACCCUGACAGAAGAAAGUAAGAAACAGUAUUUUUCUGUUCUUUGGUCAGAGUUGCUGUGGUUGUAUUAUUUGCUGCCACCAGGGCUGGGGGUGGAGCUUCCUUCUGCUCUGGCUCCCACUUCAGGGCCAGAAGGGCCUUUGGCCAC
rnacentral:lncRNA from 1 species